AGAAAGAGUAAACGGUUUCCCGAAUCCGAAUCCUCAGAUGGGUUCGGGUUAGGAUUCAAUAGGUCGUUUUGUUGAUCGUCCGGGUCGUAAUCCGGAUCUAGGGUUCCGAUCAAUGGCAUCACGAGCGGCGAUUUCUAUAUAUCUCGGCUUACGGAACUUCUAUAUGCCAGUGAAGAAGAUUCUAACGUGAAGAUGAUAAUACUAAAGGGACACGGAAGGGCUUUUUGUGCUGGUGGUGAUGUUUCAGCUUUUU